UUUCAGAAGAUCUAUUUAGCUAAGACUCUUGUUGAGAUAUGUAUUUGCAACUCUAACUUGGAACUUCUAAUCUAAAGCAAAUUUUACCCUCUUCACUUUUUUUGAUAGGGUGUGGCAACACGAGAAAUCAAUAGAAAACAGAAUCUUUGAAGUUGACAGCAUCUCUGAUGAAAUCUUCAAGCUUUCCUGAAUGGUGCAUGCAACUAAUGAGCUCAAGCACUAGCAUUCAAGGAUUCUUUACCAUCUGGUCCUAACACCAACUGGAAAAAAAAAACUUCUAAGAAGCCCAUUUAUUAUACUAAAGAGGUAUCAGCCACCUGCCAUGGUGUGGACGCCUGUCAGCAAGCCACGGCCCUACACAUCCACGCUACAUCUGAGCAUCCUCCAGCCUGCCCGGAAGGCGAUAUUCAGAAUCUCCGUGGAGAACCACUUCAGGGAUUGACACCUUGAAGUUCCAACCAACCACUGGAGUAAUCUGUCUAAACCGCACUUCCCAUCAGUGUGUGUUAAGGCUGUCAGAUAAGCAACAGCAAACCGAAUUAUCAGUUCUAGGGCAUCAUUAUGGCUAUUUCCUGUGUGCCUGUAAAGAUAAAUUGGAAGGAGCUGGACAAGAUAGUGAGAGUCUUUACUGAGAAGUGGAUCUGCUACUUGUGAAAGGAGAGGAGGAACAGAAGGAGAGUGAGUAGACAAAGUCUUAGGUUGCAUGGUGCAAAAAAGUAAAUGAAAUGUACAGAAGACAUUGUGUGUGUGUGUGUGUGUGUGUGUGUGUGUGUGUGUGUGUGUUAGUCACUCAGUCG
rnacentral:lncRNA from 1 species